AGAGACAGCAGUAGCCGCGGUAAUACGUAGGUCCCGAGCGUUGUCCGGAUUUAUUGGGCGUAAAGCGAGCGCAGGCGGUUAGAUAAGUCUGAAGUUAAAGGCUGUGGCUUAACCAUAGUACGCUUUGGAAACUGUUUAACUUGAGUGCAAGAGGGGAGAGUGGAAUCCCAUGUGUAGCGGUGAAAUGCGCAGAUAUAUGGAGGAACACCGGUGGCGAAAGCGGCUCCCUGGCUUGUAACUGACGCUGAGGCUCGAAAGCGUGGGGAGCAAACAGGAUGAGAUACCCCUGUAGUCCCUGUCUCUUAUACA
rnacentral:rRNA from 1 species